rnacentral:misc_RNA from 1 species
AAGUCGUAACAAGGUCUCCGUAGGUGAACCUGCGGAGGGAUCAUUAACACGUAUCCAAACGUUUAAACCAAACCCGUGCUCCUUAUGUUCCCAUCUGAUUCAAGUGAUUCCGUAAGCCAUCGAUGGAUUCCUAUAGGGGAAACUCUUAGGUCUACUUACGAAAUCUACGAGUACUUUGAUACUCAGCUUGAGUUAGUAUGGCGUAUCCUUUCAAGCCAUCGUGGUUAUUAAGCCAAACCGGUUUCGACCCGGAGCUUAGUAGCCUUAUGAAACCCCACAUUUUUUAACCCCUUUCUUUAUAUAACACUGACUUACACUUUCUGAACUUAACGGUUAAGAAAAGUAUACGAAACGCGAACAACUCUUAGCAAUGGAUAUCUUGGUUCUC